AUUGAACGCUGGCGGCAGGCCUAACACAUGCAAGUCGAGCGGAUGAAGGGAGCUUGCUCCUGGAUUCAGCGGCGGACGGGGGAGUAAUGCCUAGGAAUCUGCCUGGUUGUGGGGGAUGACGUCCGGAAGCGAGCGGUAAUAACGCCUGCGUCCUGAGGGAGAAAGUGGGGGGUCUUCGGACAUCACGGUCUCAGAUGAGCCUAGGUUGGGUUAGCUAGUUGGUGGGGUAAAGGCCUACCAAGCCGACGAUCCGUAACUGGUCUGAGAGGAUGAUCAGUCACACUGGAACGUAGACACGGUCCAGACUCCUAAGGGAGGCAGCAGUGGGGAAUAUGGGGCAAUGGGCGAAAGCCUGACCCAGCCAGGCCGCGUGUGUGAAGAAGGUCUUCGGAUUGUAAAGCACUUUUAGUUGGGAGGAAGGGCAGUAAGUUAAUACGUUGCUGUUUUGACGGUACCAACAGAAUAAGCACCGGCUAACUACGUG
rnacentral:rRNA from 1 species